rnacentral:rRNA from 1 species
UACGUAGGUGGCAAGCGUUGUCCGGAUUUAUUGGGUUUAAAGGGUGCGUAGGCGGUCCCAUAAGUCAGUGGUGAAAUACUCUAGCUUAACUAGAGGGGUGCCAUUGAUACUGCGGGACUUGAGUGGAGUUGAAGUGGGCGGAAUUGACGGUGUAGCGGUGAAAUGCUUAGAUAUCGGAAGGAACAUCAAGUGGCGAAAGCGACUUCCUGGACCAGUACCGACGUUCAGGCACGAAAGCGUGGGGAGCAAACAGG